rfam:Galdieria sulphuraria unplaced genomic scaffold scaf_8, whole genome shotgun sequence.
GCCGCCGUAGCUUAGUUGGUAGAGCGUCGCACUAGUAAUGCGGAGGUCAUGAGUUCGAGUCUCAUCGGUGGCU